rnacentral:rRNA from 1 species
CGAACGGUAACCAGGAUGUGCUUGCCCAUCGCUGACGAGUGGCGGACGGGUGAGUAAUGCUUCAGGGAUCUGCCUCUGUGUGGGGGAUAACUAUCUGGAAACGAUAGCUAAUACCGCACUAAUGUUUACGUGACCAAAGGGGGCGUCUUGCUCCCGCGCAGAGAGGAACCUAAGUGAGAUUAGCUAGUUGGUAAGGUAAUGGCUUACCAAGGACGACGAUCUCUAGCUGUUCUGAGAGGAAGAUCAGCCACACUGGGACUGAGACACGGCCCAGACUCCUACGGGAGGCAGCAGUGGGGAAUAUUGCAACAAUGGGGGGAACCCUGAUGCAGCCAUGCCGCGUGUGUGAAGAAGGCCGUCGGGUUGUAAAGCACUUUCAGUUGUGAGGAAACGGUUAGUAGUUAAUACCUGCUACCUGUGACGUUAGCAACAGAAGAAGCACCGGCUAACUCCGUGCCAGCAGCCGCGGUAAUACAGGAGGGUGCGAGCGUUAAUCGGAAUUACUGG